rnacentral:lncRNA from 1 species
GGCCAGGUUCAAGUCAUAAGUGCUGUCAGUUUCAAGGGGAAGGACUUGGGGGAGCAGAGGGAAAGAAACCAACAAGACUGCCUUACUGUUCUCAGCUUGCCUAAACUUCAGAUAGGUUUCUUCCUGACCUCUUUUCCUAGAGCUUUUAAUUCAGAAAACUUUCUACAGUAAAUUAUUUCCCUGCCCCAUUGUGAUGUAUGUAAAUCUGUUCAAAAGCCUCUUGAUGGUUUUAAAUCCAGUAAUCUCUUUCUCGAAGGCUUAGGAGCCUUCUCUUUGAAAUUUAAGUAUCAGGGGAAACAGUGCCCCAUCUUCCUGUUUCUGUGGGAAGGUAGAAGACUAAUAACCACAGUGUGCCAAACUUGCUGCAAGUUUUAAAACUACUUCCUGUCACGAAGACAUAAAAAAUGUUACUUUUUCUUUGGGCAAAGCCAAUUAACAAACACAAACGAUCUGUGUUCUCCUGCUCACCUCACUUUUUUUUUUUUUUUUUUUUUUUUUUNNNNNNNNNNNNNNNNNNNNNNNNNNNNNNNNNNNNNNNNNNNNNNNUUCCCAGGCUAGGGGUUGAAUCGGAGCUGUAGCCACCGGCCUACGCCAGAGCCACAGCAACGCAGGAUCCGAGCUGCGUCUGCAACCUACACCACAGCUCACGGCAACGCCGGAUCGUUAACCCAAUGAGCAAGGGCAGGGACCGAACCUGCAACCUCAUGGUUCCUAGUCGGAUUCAUUAACCACUGCGCCACGACAGGAACUCCUGCAGUAGCUUUGAAUAAAGUCUCCCUUACGUAUUUAAAUCGGUCCAUUUUCUUUUUAAAUGGGAAAAAAAAAGCAAACUUAAGAAAAGAGAGAAGAGAAGGGAGAUCAAUAAUCAUUAGUCUAAAAAUCUGAUAAAUCACAGCUUUUCUUAAUUACAUGAUUUUAACUGAUCAUUUGGUAGAUAUUGAAAUGCUGAGCCAUCAAGCAGACUAAACCACUGCAAAAUGGAUACAUCACCCAAUAUGAAUCCUUUUUUCAAGAACUCAGUCUUCCAUAGGGAAGGCUCAACUGAGAGGCAUUUGGGGACCCAAUAAGGGCCAGCUAAUUGUGAGGAGGAAGGAAAUAGGAGAGAAAAGAAUAGGUAGUGAAUUCAAAUGCCAUAAAUUCAGGUAUAGUGUUGGCUUCUCAAGAUGACUCUUGGUCUGAUGUUCACCAUCCCAGUGCUUAGUAAACUUAAAGCUUGUUUCAGACACAGGCCCAACGGUCCAGGCUAACAAUGAGGUACUGCAGCCGAAACACAGAGCACAUGUUGGUUAAGGUUGAGCAGGUUACCAGGAGACAGAGAGCUGGGAGGAGUCUUCCUAUCCAAAGGUCGUCGCAAGGACACAGGGAAGAAUGAGCCAGAGAAACAGAAGCCAAACACCAGUCAGAUGGCCUGAAAAAUUGCAUGGGGAGAAAACCACAACUCAGUGGACAUCUAUGUGCCCAUGGCUUUCGGCAGACAUCCUUGGUAUUUUGAUUCUGUCACCAAGACUAACUCCAUAUUCCAGAGGUUAGUGGCAGAGACUGUAAACACAUCCGAUAAUCAUGUUGGUCUUAGAUGCUGGGAGGCAGUGAUGGGAAAUGAUGAAGGGUCAAUGAAAUGGACUAAGCCUUCAGGUGUAGAAAAUAGAGGUUAAUUCUGAAAGGGCUGGGAAAGACUGAACACCUCAUCUGUCUUCAUCUUGGUCAAGGUGCUGGGCCUUGUUCUUUUAAGCGUCUUAAGAACUUUUGAAAAUUCCUGCUACUUUUCUCUCCAGGGGCAAGCAGAGAUAUUUAUGUAAGGGUGUGAUACACGGAACUUUAUCAUCAGCUCACAAAAUGUGAGCCCUUCCCAGAGAGCAAAACAACAUACUCCUAUUGUCUUUCAUUUCUAAAUGCCAGAGGGGAAUAGCUUUUAAUAAAUACUUUUUCACUGCACUUCAGUCGAAUUGCUAUCCUGUGAAAACCGGCCUGAGGAGAAUAACACAUUGCCAAAUUCCCUCCAGUGAGUGCAAAAUAAUACAGUAGGUUCUGGCAGAGAAAUAAAAUGGAAAUCUGAUUACUUUGUUUCAUUCUAUAUGGAGAUAAUGUGUGAGCACAUUUAAAUACAUAAUUCAACGUAUUUCAGCUAUGGUCCUAGAUGAUGAUUUAAUGUCAGCCUAACACUAACCUUGUAACAUGAGAGUUUCAUUUAGAACUGACAACUAAAAAGAAAGUUGAUGAAAUUACACUUUAUUUUAUUUUCUGCAGAGCUAAGCAGACCUGUUUAUUCCAUUCCUAAUGCCAGCUACUGCCAUAAAUUUGAAGAAACUAAACCUACCCAGAGAAGGCCAUACAUAUUAAUAAAGCUGAAAGAAUUGUCUGCUUACCAUAUUGGAAUAGAUUCAACGAAGAAAUAAAAAAUAAAUAAAAUGUGGAGAUCAUUUUCCUGGGUCAAAUUAUAGCAAGUGAUUUAAAGUCCAAAUAGAUUUCUAAUAAAUUACCUUUUAAUUAUAUAAAAUCUGCAACUGUAUUAGGGAUAAGUAAAUGGCUCUUUUUGAAGGAAUGCAGGAUGGCUUUAGGAAAAUGCAGUGCAGAAGGUAAUUUGCAAAAAUGGUUAAGAGUGUAGGAGGCCACCAGUAAGUUAUUACGUUGAGAAUAUUAACACUCUUCAGUAAUAUUGUGGAAGAGCUGAAUUAUAUUACACUGGGAAACAGUUGUAAUGGUAACAACUUUGAGAUGAUUAUUUUUACAAUCAGGUUUCUUUCAUUUUGCAUAUUUUACUUACCUCUUUGGCAAAAAGCAUAGCAUAGCCAGAGAGUUGAGACCCUGACUAGUUUUAAUCCUAACACUAAUUUUCAGGCUACGAAUAUAGCAGACGAUAUAUUAUUAGGGGAUAUGCAGAAUGCUGUGAACAUAGUAAUGGUUCAUGAUGCCCAUGUAGGAGUUCCCAUUGUGGCUCAGGGUUAAGAACCUGACUAGUAUCCAUGAGGAUGCAGGUUCAGUCCCUGGCCUCACUCAGUGGGUUCAGGAUCAGGCAUUGCUGCAAGCUGUGGUAGGUCACAGAUGCAGCUCAGGUCUGGCAUUGCUAUGGCUGUGGCUGUGGUGCAGACUGGCAGGUGCAGCUCUGAUUUGACACCUGACCUGGGAAUUUCCAUACACCGCAGGUCCAGCACUAAAAAGGAAAAAACAAAACCAAAACCAAAACCCAUAAUACCCAUGUAAAGUUCAUGUUAUGGCAUCUGAAAAGCAAUCUCCUUUCAAAGGUCAGUUUUAUAACUGCAACCUUUGUGAUACAGGACAUAGAAGACAACUGUAUUAAUUCCCACAACACAGGAAGGAAAUAAAAAUAAAAAUUUUAGGGGUUCCACAUUUAACUUCCUUAAAUGAUUUUUUUUUUUUUGCAUAGAAAUUUUUGCAAAGAAGUAAAUUAAUUAAGAACUAAUAUAAUGGAUGACCAGGGAAAAGCAAUCCCAAUUUUACCAGAUGCUUAAUGGGUUAUGAAUGACAAGGGUAUAUUCUCAUUUAAUGCCAAAUUUCUGUUAUCUUCUAACCACAAGUAAAAUAGACUUUCGGUCUUAAAGUAAGUUACCUGUGAUAUUAUCAAAUUUUGAGUGCCAAAACAUUUCUUUCACUGAUGACAUUACUUCGUUUGGCUUACAGUGUAGAUUUUAGCAGUGUUUAUCUAUGUAUAUUUAAUUUAAUUAAUAAACUAUAGCCUAUCUUUUUUUUUUAAGUUCCCGUCAUGACUCAGUGGUUAACAAAUCUGACUAGCAUCUAUGAGGACACAGGUUUGAUCCCUGGCCUUGCUCAGUGGAUUAAGGAUCCUACUACAUUGCUGUGGUUGUGGCAUAGGCCGGCAGCUACAGCUCUGAUUUGACCCAUAGCCUGGGAACUUCCAUAUGCCGUGGGUGUGGGC